rnacentral:lncRNA from 1 species
AAAAAAGGAACAAAAUGCAAAGUCACUUUGGGUGGGCUGCAGCCAGUAUAUCUCCCAAGAAAGGAGAGGACAACCUGUCAACGGCUUUACAUCGAUAAAACAAUAAAUGGAACAGGACAUAAAUAGAAACGACCCUCAUAUGUACACUCUGAUCCCUGCUUACAGGCAAUCAUCAAGCUCUUAGAUCUAUUUCAGACAGUAACGUGCAACGUGCAUGCAGGGUUAGAAGACCGGGACCCCAAAAGAGCUAAAUUCCGAAGAUGAUCGAAGAAGCAUACUGUGAAAUAGUCACCACCGCAGAUAAACUUUUCCAGUUCAUAUGCAUAUAUAAGACGAAUGGCAUCUUCUGUGACAGAUUGCCACUCUUUCUCAGACACAACCUGAACCAAGCUUAUAAAUAUCUUGCACUAUAUAGAUAGAUAGAUAGAUAGAUAGAUGCGGCGCAGCGCAGACACCAAGUUAAAAUUAAUAUAUCCUGCGCGCAUUGAUCUUGAAGAUGCGGCCCACACCUAGGGUAGAUGUAGCUAAUACAUAGUUACUGCUAACGGGUUCGUAAUCUCAAUAUGAAACUCAGGGCCCUCCAUGAAAAUCUUGAUUUUCAUCUUCUGGGAGCAACUUGGUUGGGCACAUAGGUGGCUAGUUGUCAGAAAUCUUCAAAGCAGCAACUGUCAUCAAACAAGCAAAACAGAGUGUCAGCAACAGAAGUAAAAGGAAAAAAGUAUAAGCAACACUGAAACUUCUUCAUUUGCUCUCUUUGCAUCACACUCGUUGUCGAGCUAAAGGCUAAAAAUUAAGGUAAAAAUUCUCACUAACAAACAGAAAAGGAAGCCAUGAUUAUGUAACAAACAUAACCAACAUGCCAUGUUAAAUUACCAAGCAAUGAUGUCUGAAUUAAUGGACGAGUAAAAAAUCUAUCUUAGCUUCGUUACUGUUUUAC